rnacentral:misc_RNA from 1 species
GAUGAAGAACGUAGUGAAAUGCGAUACGUAAUGUGAAUUGCAGAAUUCAGUGAAUCACCGAGUCUUUGAACGCACAUUGCGCCCCCUGGUAUUCCGGGGGGCAUGCCUGUCCGAGCGUCAUUGCUGCCCUCAAGCACGGCUUGUGUGUUGGGCCUCCGUCCUCCUCCCGGGGGACGGGCCCGAAAGGCAGCGGCGGCACCGCGUCCGGUCCUCGAGCGUAUGGGGCUUCGUCACCCGCUCUUGUAGGCCCGGCCGGCGCUUGCCGACACAUCAAUCUUUUUUCCAGGUUGACCUCGGAUCAGGUAGGGAUACCCGCUGAACUUAAGCAUAUCAAUAAGCGGAGGA